rnacentral:rRNA from 1 species
CCUACGGGUGGCAGCAGUGAGGAAUAUUGGUCAAUGGACGCGAGCCUGAACCAGCCAAGUAGCGUGAAGGAUGACUGCACUAUGGGUUGUAAACUUCUUUUGUCAAGGAAUAAAGUGAGGCACGUGUGCCUGUUUGUAUGUACCUUAUGAAUAAGGAUCGGCUAACUCCGUGCCAGCAGCCGCGGUAAUACGGAGGAUCCGAGCGUUAUCCGGAUUUAUUGGGUUUAAAGGGUGCGUAGGUGGGUUGUUAAGUCAGUGGUGAAAGUUCGCGGCUCAACCGUGAAAUUGCAAUUGAUACUGGCAGUCUUGAGGAGAGUUGAGGUAGGCGGAAUGCGUGGUGUAGCGGUGAAAUGCUUAGAUAUCACGAAGAACUCCGAUUGCGAAGGCAGCUUACUAAGCUGCCACUGACGUUGAUGCACGAAAGUGUGGGUAUCAAACAGGAUUAGAUACCCGAGUAGUC